AAAACACAGGGAAAAGGACCAGACAAUAUACACGGAGGAAAACACGACAGGGAGAACAGCAAAACACCCAAAACAAGACAUACAAAACAUUACAUAACACAAUAAUCGUAACAUAUAGAAGAACGGACCGACUAUCACUGCCCGUCCCUGAAACCCCUGUUAGUGUUUGUAUGUGUUUGUUUCUACUGUGUGUCUCUCUCUCCCCCCCACCUGCCUGCUGGUCUGCUCUACACGGCUGGGAGCUAUCUCCAAUCAACCCCACCUGCAACCUGCUCAUCAGCCACACUAUGAAAGCCUGCAGCCUGCACUCAUUCCCUGCCGGAUUGUUGCCGUGAACGGAGGAAUCCAAGACCUGCCACACAAUCAAGACCAGCCAGGCCUCUCCACCCUGGAACAACUGUUUCCCACUGCUGCCAUAACCAACCUCCACUCCCAGCUCCCCUUUUCUAAUAAACAAAUGUUAUGCUCA